AGCGAACGCUGGCGGCAGGCCUAACACAUGCAAGUCGAACGGAUCCUUCGGGAUUAGUGGCGGACGGGUGAGUAACACGUGGGAACGUGCCCUUUGGUUCGGAACAAAUCAGGGAAACUUGAGCUAAUACCGGAUGUGCCCUUCGGGGGAAAGAUUUAUCGCCAUUGGAGCGGCCGGCGUCUGAUUAGCUAGUUGGUGAGGUAACGGCCCACCAAGGCGACGAUCAGUAGCUGGUCUGAGAGGAUGAGCAGCCACACUGGGACUGAGACACGGCCCAGACUCCUACGGGAGGCAGCAGUGGGGAAUCUUGCGCAAUGGGCGAAAGCCUGACGCAGCCAUGCCGCGUGAAUGAUGAAGGUCUGAGGAUAGUAAAAUUCUUUCAGCGGGGACGAUAAUGACGGUACCCGCAGAAGAAGCUCCGGCUAACUUCGUG
rnacentral:rRNA from 1 species